GAUGAACGCUGGCGGCGUGCCUAAUACAUGCAAGUCGAGCGAACGGACGAGAAGCUUGCUUCUCUGAUGUUAGCGGCGGACGGGUGAGUAACACGUGGAUAACCUACCUAUAAGACUGGGAUAACUUCGGGAAACCGGAGCUAAUACCGGAUAAUAUUUUGAACCGCAUGGUUCAAAAGUAAAAGACGGUCUUGCUGUCACUUAUAGAUGGAUCCGCGCUGCAUUAGCUAGUUGGUAAGGUAACGGCUUACCAAGGCAACGAUGCAUAGCCGACCUGAGAGGGUGAUCUGCCACACUGGAACUGAGACACGGUCCAGACUCCUACGGGAGGCAGCAGUAGGGAAUCUUCCGCAAUGGGCGAAAGCCUGACGGAGCAACGCCGCGUGAGUGAUGAAGGUCUUCGGAUCGUAAAACUCUGUUAUUAGGGAAGAACAUAUGUGUAAGUAACUGUGCACAUCUUGACGGUACCUAAUCAGAAAGCCACGGCUAACUACGUG
rnacentral:rRNA from 1 species